rnacentral:rRNA from 1 species
AUUGAACGCUGGCGGAAUGCUUUACACAUGCAAGUCGAACGGUAGAGGGGGCAACCCCUUGAGAGUGGCGAACGGGUGAGUAAUAUAUCGGAACGUGCCCAGUCGUGGGGAUAACGUAGCGAAAGUUACGCUAAUACCGCAUACGAUCUAAGGAUGAAAGCGGGGGAUCGCAAGACCUCGCGCGAUUGGAGCGGCCGAUAUCAGAUUAGGUAGUUGGUGAGGUAAAGGCUCACCAAGCCAACGAUCUGUAGCUGGUCUGAGAGGACGACCAGCCACACUGGAACUGAGACACGGUCCAGACUCCUACGGGAGGCAGCAGUGGGGAAUUUUUGGACAAUGGACGCAAGUCUGAUCCAGCCAUUCGCGUGCAGGAUGAAGGCCCUCGGGUUGUAAACUGCUUUUGUACGGUAACGAAACGGUGAGCUCUAAUACAGUUUGCUAAUGACGUA